AGAACGAACGCUGGCGGCAUGCCUAACACAUGCAAGUCGAACGCUUGCCCGGUUUCGGCCGGGCAGGAGUGGCGCACGGGUGAGUAGCGCGUGGGAACCUGCCCUGUUGUGGGGGAUAACCGAGGGAAACUUCGGCUAAUACCGCAUGCGCCCGGAGCAAUCCGGGGAAAGAUUUAUCGCAGCAGGAGGGGCCCGCGUCGGAUUAGGUAGUUGGUGGGGUAACGGCCCACCAAGCCUGUGAUCCGUAGCUGGUCUGAGAGGAUGAUCAGCCACACUGGGACUGAGACACGGCCCAGACUCCUACGGGAGGCAGCAGUGGGGAAUAUUGGACAAUGGGCGCAAGCCUGAUCCAGCAAUGCCGCGUGAGUGAUGAAGGCCUUAGGGUUGUAAAGCUCUUUCGCCCGCGACGAUGAUGACGGUAGCGGGAGAAGAGCCCGGCUAACUUCGUGCCAGCAGCCGC
rnacentral:rRNA from 1 species